rnacentral:lncRNA from 1 species
AUGACUGAGCAUUUAUGCAUCCCCUUUGGUAACUGGACCCAUCCUCAAGGCUUCCCUGAUGGCUCAGUUGGAAAAGAAUCUGCCUGCAACACAGGAGACCCUGGCUCGAUUCCUGGGCCCAGAAGAUCUGCUGGAGAAGCACUUCAAUAUUGUUUGGCUUCCCUUGUGGCUCAGCUGGUAAAGAAUCCGCCUGCAAAUGUGGGAGACCUGUCGAUCCCUGGGUUGGAAAAAAUCCCCUGGAGAACAGAAAGGCUACCCACGCCAGUAUUCUGGCCUGGAGAAUUCCAUGUAUUGUAUAGUCCACGGGAUCGCAAAGAGUCGGACAUGACUGAGCGAAUUUCACUUAGUCUUCAAGGCUUAGGCCUAGUUGAUAUUAAAAAAAAAAAAAGGAGCUUUAAAGUAGAGGCUAUAAAAAUAUAUACACAGAGAUUACAAAAAAAAACUAUACAUGAAAUGUUGAUAUCUAGUAUAUUCCAGAGUGGUGGAGUCUGAAGACAGAGACAUAGAUAAAAUCUAUCCUUUGCCUUUCGGGUGGCUUUAAGGAGUGUAGUAAUCGCUAUAAUUUUUAUUUCCUACCCCUAUGAUUUUUAACUGAGCAUCCACCCCAUAUGUAUUAUUUAUAUUAUAUAUGUAUAUAUAUCUUCUAUAAUUAAUAUACUAAAUGUUAGUUCAAUUUCUUUCUUUUAUUUUUUUUUUGGAUAAAAACAUACAUGGAGGUUGACUUAUUAUUAUUAUUAUUAUUUUUACUCCAGUGGACAUGUUGGGUACUUCCUGGAGAGCUUCCGUGAUCUGGAAUCCACCCCCACCCCACCCCACCCCCGCCCCCCGCCACGUACAUGCAUGCCUGACUCUCUCCUGUCUUUCUUUGGAGCUGUGUCAAAUGCCAGGUUUUCAAAGACGUCUUCCCUGACCACCCCUAUAAAAUAUUCUUCUCUCCACCUCUGUCAUCUUCUGUCCUGUUAUGCCAAUGUUUAAUAUACUGCACUUCACUGUAUAGUAUGAUUUUUUUUAUUAGUUUAGUUAUUGUUUCCUUGCAUCAGAAUGUAAGCUUUAAGAGGAGCAGGGAGGAGUCUUGAACACUGGGAACUUCGAGAAGAAAGCAACAGAGCCAGAGGGUUGGGGGUCCAGUGCCCCCUAAAGCCCCUUUGCACAGGGGUGGAUGUGAAGGGAAUAUGGGUGACAUUAAUCCAUGCCUCCCCUGAGUCCUGCAUUCUUACCGUCCUCAGGGCCAGGAUCACCCAGGCUUUCUCUCUCCCCACAUUGUCUAUACUCUCCCCUUCUCUCUGAUUUUUAGAGGGAUUGCACCUUAAGUGAAGGCUUGACACACAAAGAAAGACGCAGCUGUUUGUUUCUCUCAGCUUCUUCUCAUUUAAGACAUGCGAAGACGUUGGUGAUUGCACCAGUUGUUCUGAGUUAGGAGCCAAAAGACCGUUAUUUGAUUUGCCUCUGAAGAAAAGAGUAAACAGGAUGGUUGAAUACCUUGUUCCCCCAC